AGAGGGCCGGGAGGCCGCCAUACAGCCAGCGAAUGAGGUUGACCAGCUCCAACAUGUCCAGUAAUGAGGACGGAUUGUUGUGUUCGCUGAUUUCCUGUUGGAAGUCGUGCGACAAUGCAGGCCGCACUGCUCGUUCCUGUAAUUUCGGGGCAUGCAGUUGGGGGCAGAAAAAAAAGACGUUAUAGAAUAAAAUAUCUUUAAAAAUAUCGGUAAGUUUGGGGAAUGGGAGUUUGAGCCCGCUGAAGUAGCUCUGCAUGGAGAAGCCUAUGUAGGUCUAUUUUGUGGCUCACGGCGCCAAACAUGUAGGCGGCUCAAAACCUUCACAUAGCUAAAUUUUUGAUUUCAGUAACACCGCGAAACUCUAGAGAUCUUGCCUGGUGGCGUUGAACAGGCGAAUCCUCGCCAUCGCGCUUCCGAGAAAACAAACUUGAACUGCGGAAAAAUUUCAUACUUCUUAAAUACCUAUAUAAUUUGCAGGAUGUAUUAAAGCCCACAGAUGUUUAUCGGGACAGC
rnacentral:lncRNA from 1 species